ACCUGGUGCCAAGGAAACUCCCAUGAACCCAUAAGCUAAGACUCCUAGAAAUAGUGGAGAGGGUGUCUUAAACUAACCAAUCAGAUUGGUGACUACCCAAAUUGUCAUCACAGAGCCUUCAUCCAGUAACUGAUGGAAGUCAAUGCAAAGAUCCACAGCAAAGCACUGGGCUGAACUCUGGGAGUCCUGUUGAAGAAAGAUCAAUGCUUCACAUAACCCUUGUAAGAGGAACUUAAAGUACACGAGAAUUAACAAAGAGACCUACAACAGCUGGACAACGCACAGAAAGUGAGAGGCUUUGGAGCACUUAAUCCUAAAUGGAGUAUCUUCAUCAAACUCCUCCCCAUAAAGAUCGGGAAUCUAGAUAUCUAAGGGAAUGGGACCACUGACUUCCCAGAGUUCCUGACUAUGGUGGCUGAAAAUAUGAAAGAGACAGUGUGGAUGAAGAGGAGAUCUAACAGACCUUCUAUACAAGAGUAUGGGCCCCAGCUUUUAGGAAGAGAACCAUUGCCUUUGUCACCUAUGCUACAGGAGUGUGCUAGUCCCUUUCUGGGAUUAUAUUGACAGUUCAAGUGAACUCUGUCCUCUGAUUUGGUCAGUUUUUGCUCCACAGACUCCCCAGCUAUCUCUCCCUUUUCCCUCCUGGCUCCUCUGUGUGUGUCUCUCUCUCCUUAUUUGGUCCUUCCUCCAAACCAUUUCUUUCUCUGCUUCUCCAAGGUUUCUCACCCCUCAGAGUUUCAUCUCAACCCCUUUCAUUGCCGCUACUCAGCUCCUGAUUAUGGUGUCACAGAGACCUAGAAAAUAGUCAACUCCAGGACCCCUUCUCCCAAAGGGCUCCCCUGCCUGGUUGGAGCGAGUCAUAUAGUCUCACUAGCCCGGCCCUGUAUGAUAAGGUCCCAGCCAGGGCAAGAUGGCUGUGGUGUAGGACACAUGGUGGCUGUGGAGCCACAGAAGCAGGAGCUGCAAAGUGUGGAGGGGCAUAGCAACCCCCUUCUUUAUCUCCACAGAGACUCCAGGCAUCUAGGCAGCCUUGCCAGCUGGCAACUCAGGACCCUACCUCAUUGUGGCCAAGAGCUAUGCGGCCAGGUUUUCUAUCUGGGAAGGGUCCCUUAGGCAGGAGACUGAGAUAAAAGCUAUGCUGGAUCCUCCCUAUUGGGUCUCCAAACCCGCUUCCUCUAACUGACAUAGGACAAUCUUUCUGUUUUGGAACUCCCUUCCCCACGCUUGUGAUCUGCCAUUGUUUCUGCCCCUCCCCCAAACCUGGGUACUCUUGAUUUUGUUUCCAUUUCUCAGCUACAGAGAAGCAAAUGCCUUUUGGACAGAGAUAAUCAUUUUUAAAAAGUUGUCUUAAACCCCCCACAAAAGGUUGAUAUUUAAAAAUACAUGUACAGGUAAUCUUAAUUAUUUUAAAAAAACAGUGACUAGAUAUGAGAAAAGUGUUUUAAAGAAUGGGGUUAUAUUUUUGGUAAAAAAGGGCUAAAAGGAAAAGAGACUAUUUUGAGUAAGGAUGAAUUUUGUAUGAUAAAAUAAGAUUUUUGUCCCAAGAAUAAAAAUUAACAGAUGAGGACAAAAAAAAACCCCACAAAAGUUAAGGCCAAGUUGCAAAAGGUCAAUGGAGGAUGGGACUUAAGGAUGAUAUAUAUUUGGUGAUUAAGAGUCUGCCCAAGGGUGCUGUACUCUACAAGACUUUUGUCCAUGUGGUUCCUGCCAAACCCGAGGGAACCUUCAAACUGGUGGCCAUGCUUUGAUCCUGUGGAGACCAUCGGAUAGAGACUCGAGCCCAGUUCACAGGGGCAUGUAAUAGCGGAAGUCAAGGGCCAGGGUGAGGGCAAGGUCCCCACGGAAGGGACCUGUUGGAUGGUGACUCUGUGGGAGCCUUUGUGCUGUGACUCUUGGAAACCCUUUGGUAGCUUGGACAUGCCAUCAAUAAAGCUAGCUGGAGUCCUGCAAAAAAAA